rnacentral:rRNA from 1 species
GGGUUGUGAGGUUAAGCGACUAAGCGUACACGGUGGAUGCCCUGGCAGUCAGAGGCGAUGAAGGACGUGCUAAUCUGCGAUAAGCGUCGGUAAGGUGAUAUGAACCGUUAUAACCGGCGAUUUCCGAAUGGGGAAACCCAGUGUGUUUCGACACACUAUCAUUAACUGAAUCCAUAGGUUAAUGAGGCGAACCGGGGGAACUGAAACAUCUAAGUACCCCGAGGAAAAGAAAUCAACCGAGAUUCCCCCAGUAGCGGCGAGCGAACGGGGAGCAGCCCAGAGCCUGAAUCAGUGUGUGUGUUAGUGGAAGCGUCUGGAAAGGCGCGCGAUACAGGGUGACAGCCCCGUACACAAAAAUACACAUACUGUGAGCUCGAUGAGUAGGGCGGGACACGUGGUA